UUGGUCGUCGGAUCUUCACAUCGAGUCAAUCUUGUCCGUUGAUUCUAGGCAGAAAACAAGUGUUCAGAUUGGUCCUCCCGCUAGCUAACCCCAUGCAACAGCCAUGUGUUACCCGCCAGCAACUGCGCGUGGGUUCCACUUCUGUCCGGGCCCGCACGUCGGUCACUCGGGUCGAUUUCGUCCGGUCAGACUUGCCUUCGGGUCGGGAAAAAGAUCUCCACCCGCAGGGGUAGAUUGGGUAUUUCCUCACACCGCGACCAGAUCAGGCAAAACUGCAGCCCGUGGUCCAAAACCUAACCAGUCGUGCUCCUCCCCCAAUCUCUUCGUUCUCCACCGCCGCCUCCCCAUCCGCUGCUCCCCGCCGCCUCCCCAUCCGCCGCUCCCCGCCGCGGCCGCCGUCGCCCCGCUCUGCCGCCGCUUCUCCCUCCUCUGGCCGAUCUCCGUCGUCGCCAUGGCUGGCCAGGAGCAGGGCGCGAGCGCCGCCUCCCGUCGUCGCCAUGGCUGGCCCGGAGCAGCACCAGUCUUGGGGGCAACCGUCGCUUCCCAUCGUCUCCAUGGCUGUCCAGGAGUAAGGCCGACCCAGCCGCCACUCCCUCUUUCCCUCUCUCCCGAGGCCGACCUCGUGGGAAGCUGCGCUCUGCUCCUCCCUCUUCUCUCUUGGCGAGGAGGCAAAAGGGAUUGACGGAUCUAGGCAGGCUCCCAGCUGCAGCCUCGUCCCUCGCUCCAUCUCCAUCGAGGGAGUGAGCUCGAGGGCAGCCAAGAUCAGAGGAGGCGUCCUCCAUGGCGGAUGUACGGACAGGCCAAGACCAGAGCGUGAAGGUUUUGGAGCUAAAGACCAUUAGCUGCUACGAGCUAAGACUUCAUACAUAUAUACUUUUCUUUCUUCCUAGCAUCAAUAUUACAAUAAUCAUUGAUAUCUGGUCCAAACUGGAAAGGUCACAUUAUCGGACAAGGGUAGAGAAGGAUCAGUAGAACAUGAAUGGGCUACAUGCCCAUCUAUUUUUGUGAUUCAAGAGGUGGCCGCCUCCCUAUCUACCUCUCGGAAGUGGCCGCCGUGGUACUUGAUCGUGGCCAAGCGAUUCAGCGCCGAGGUCAUCGACCUCACCAAAGAGAUCUUCUCUUACAAGGCGUGACAUUAUUGGAGCCAUCUCCUGGUACUUUCUGUGUUGUAUCCUAAUAGUAACCUCGCACGCAAUGCUAUAAUGCAGGCCCUUGGGCUUGUCAAACUGUCUCCAGGGAUUUGAAGCUCCAUUUAAAUUAUGCUGCGGUCAGGUUAUCAGGUGAGCCUAUGUGCUUAUUCACAUUAAUUUUUUUUAUAGCAGAUUUCAUUGUAUCCAAGAAACCUAAGUAAUCAGAAGUAUGGCUCACUCAUGUGAGUCUUAUACAUUAGGGAUAUUCAUAUACAAUUACAUUGAAGCCGGUACUAACUUCUGCUACU